AUUGAACGCUGGCGGCAUGCCUUACACAUGCAAGUCGAACGGCAGCACGGGAGUAAUCCUGGUGGCGAGUGGCGAACGGGUGAGUAAUACAUCGGAACGUGCCCAGUAGUGGGGGAUAGCCCGGCGAAAGCCGGAUUAAUACCGCAUACGACCUAUGGGUGAAAGCGGGGGAUCGCAAGACCUCGCGCUACUGGAGCGGCCGAUGUCGGAUUAGCUUGUUGGUGGGGAAAAGCCUACCAAGGCAACGAUCCGUAGCUGGUCUGAGAGGACGACCAGCCACACUGGACUGAGACACGGCCCAGACUCCUACGGGAGGCAGCAGUGGGGAAUUUUGGACAAUGGGCGCAAGCCUGAUCCAGCCAUGCCGCGUGC
rnacentral:rRNA from 1 species